ACGGGAGGCAGCAGUGGGGAAUUUUGCGCAAUGGGGGAAACCCUGACGCAGCAACGCCGCGUGCGGGACGGAGGCCUUCGGGCUGUAAACCGCUUUCAGCAGGGAAGACUUUGACGGUACCUGCAGAAGAAGCUCCGGCUAACUACGUGCCAGCAGCCGCGGUAAUACGUAGGGGGCGAGCGUUAUCCGGAUUCAUUGGGCGUAAAGCGCGCGUAGGCGGAUCGCUAAGCGGAACCUCUAAUCCGAGGGCUCAACCCCCGGCCGGGUUCCGAACUGGCGGUCUCGAGUGCGGUAGGGGCAAGUGGAAUUCCAUGUGUAGCGGUGGAAUGCGCAGAUAUAUGGAAGAACACCGAUGGCGAAGGCAGCUUGCUGGGCCGUCACUGACGCUGAGGUGCGAAAGCGUGGGGAGCGAACAGGAUUAGAUACCCUGGUA
rnacentral:rRNA from 1 species